UGAGAAUCAUUUGAUCCACAAAAGCAUGCA
rnacentral:piRNA from 1 species